rnacentral:rRNA from 1 species
GACGAACGCGGCGGCGUGCCUAAUACAUGCAAGUAGAACGCUGAAGGAGGAGCUUGCUUCUCUGGAUGAGUUGCGAACGGGUGAGUAACGCGUAGGUAACCUGCCUGGUAGCGGGGGAUAACUAUUGGAAACGAUAGCUAAUACCGCAUAAGAGUAGAUGUUGCAUGACAUUUGCUUAAAAGGUGCAAUUGCAUCACUACCAGAUGGACCUGCGUUGUAUUAGCUAGUUGGUGAGGUAACGGCUCACCAAGGCGACGAUACAUAGCCGACCUGAGAGGGUGAUCGGCCACACUGGGACUGAGACACGGCCCAGACUCCUACGGGAGGCAGCAGUAGGGAAUCUUCGGCAAUGGACGGAAGUCUGACCGAGCAACGCCGCGUGAGUGAAGAAGGUUUUCGGAUCGUAAAGCUCUGUUGUAAGAGAAGAAACGAGUGUGAGAAGUGGAAAG